rnacentral:rRNA from 1 species
CACUCUAUUGCUGAGAAGCUGAUCAAACUNGGUCAUUUAGAGGAAGUAAAAGUCGUAACAAGGUUUCCGUAGGUGAACCUGCGGAAGGAUCAUUAUCGAAUAAGCUUGGUUGGGUUGUUGCUGGCUCUUUUAGAGUAUGUGCACGCCUGACAACCAACUUUAUUACCACCUGUGCACCCUUUGUAGACCUGGAAUACCUCUCGAGGGAGGACUGCUGUGCGCAAGGCAGCUUGCAUUUCAGGUCUAUGUUUUUAUACACACCAAGUAUGUUACAGAAUGUUUAUUUAAACGAGGCUUAAUUGCCUUUGAAACUUUAUACAACUUUCAACAACGGAUCUCUUGGCUCUCGCAUCGAUGAAGAACGCAGCGAAAUGCGAUAAGUAAUGUGAAUUGCAGAAUUCAGUGAAUCAUCGAAUCUUUGAACGCACCUUGCGCUCCUUGGUAUUCCGAGGAGCAUGCCUGUUUGAGUGUCAUGAAAUUCUCAACCUUUUCAAUUUUUCUUUCAAAGUUGAUAAGGCUUGGAUAGUGGGAGUGUUUGCCGGCUUCUCAGAGGUCUGCUCUCCUUAAAUGUAUUAGCAGAGGAUCCUUGUAAUGCUUUGGUGUGAUAAUUAUCUACGCCAUAACAUGACAGGUGGAUAUACUGCUUCCAAUUGUCUCUAUCAUGAGACCUCUUUGACAAUUUGACCUCAAAUCAGGUAGGACUACCCGCUGAACUUAAGCAUAUCAAUAAGCGGAGGAAAAGAAACUAACAAGGAUUCCCCUAGUAACUGCGAGUGAAGCGGGAAAAGCUCAAAUUUAAAAUCUGAGAGUCCAUUGUGGCCCUCCGAGUUGUAAUCUAGAGAAGUGCUAUCCGCGCUGGACCGUGUACAAGUCUCCU